UACGUAGGUGGCGAGCGUUGUCCGGAAUUAUUGGGCGUAAAGCGCGCGCAGGCGGGAAAGUAAGUCUACUCUAAAAGUGCGGGGCUCAACCCCGUGAUGGGGUGGGAAACUAGCUUUUCUUUGAGUGCCGGAGAGGAAAGCGGAAUUCCCACGUGUAGCGGUGAAAUAGCGUAGAUAUUGGGUAGGAACACCAGUGGCGAAGGCGGCUUUCUGGACGGUGUCUGACGCUGAGGCGCGAAAGCGUGGGGAGCAAACAGGAUUAGAAACCCCAGUAGU
rnacentral:rRNA from 1 species